rnacentral:tRNA from 1 species
AAAUAUGAAGCAAUAAAUUGCAUUUAAUUUCGACUUAAAAAUUAGAGUAUUUUUCUCCUUAUUUA